GGCGGCAGGCCUAACACAUGCAAGUCGAGCGCGCCCUUCGGGGUGAGCGGCGGACGGGUUAGUAACGCGUGGGAAUAUGCCCGACACUAAGGAAUAGCCUCUGGAAACGGAGAGUAAUACCUUAUACGCCCUUCGGGGGAAAGAUUUAUCGGUGACGGAUUAGCCCGCGUUAGAUUAGAUAGUUGGUGGGGUAAUGGCCUACCAAGUCUACGAUCUAUAGCUGGUUUUAGAGGAUGAUCAGCAACACUGGGACUGAGACACGGCCCAGACUCCUACGGGAGGCAGCAGUGGGGAAUCUUGGACAAUGGGCGCAAGCCUGAUCCAGCCAUGCCGCGUGAGUGAUGAAGGCCUUAGGGUCGUAAAGCUCUUUCGCCAGAGAUGAUAAUGACAGUAUCUGGUAAAGAAACCCCGGCUAACUCCGUGCCAGCAGCCGCGGUAAUACGGAGGGGGUUAGCGUUGUUCGGAAUUACUGGGCGUAAAGCGCGCGUAGGCGGAUUAGUCAGUUAGAGGUGAAAUCCCGGGGCUCAACCCCGGAACUGCCUUUAAUACUGCUAGUCUUGAGUUCGAGAGAGGUGAGUGGAAUUCCGAGUGUAGAGGUGAAAUUCGUAGAUAUUCGGAGGAACACCAGUGGCGAAGGCGGCUCACUGGCUCGAUACUGACGCUGAGGUGCGAAAGUGUGGGGAGCAAACAGGAUUAGAUACCCUGGUAGUCCACACCGUAAACGAUGAAUGCCAGUCGUCGGGUAGCAUGCUAUUCGGUGACACACCUAACGGAUUAAGCAUUCCGCCUGGGGAGUACGGUCGCAAGAUUAAAACUCAAAUGAAUUGACGGGGGCCCGCACAAGCGGUGGAGCAUGUGGUUUAAUUCGAUGCAACGCGAAGAACCUUACCUACUCUUGACAUCCAGAGAACUUUCCAGAGAUGGAUUGGUGCCUUCGGGAACUCUGAGACAGGUGCUGCAUGGCUGUCGUCAGCUCGUGUUGUGAAAUGUUGGGUUAAGUCCCGCAACGAGCGCAACCCUUAUCCUUGUUUGCCAGCGAGUAAUGUCGGGAACUCCAGGGAGACUGCCGGUGAUAAACCGGAGGAAGGUGGGGACGACGUCAAGUCAUCAUGGCCCUUACGAGUAGGGCUACACACGUGCUACAAUGGCGCAUACAGAGGGCAGCCAACUUGCGAGAGUGAGCGAAUCCCAAAAAGUGCGUCGUAGUCCGGAUUGGAGUCUGCAACUCGACUCCAUGAAGUCGGAAUCGCUAGUAAUCGUGGAUCAGAAUGCCACGGUGAAUACGUUCCCGGGCCUUGUACACACCGCCCGUCACACCAUGGGAGUGGGCUGCAAAAGAAGUAGGUAGUUUAACCUUCGGGAGGACGCUUACCACUUUGUGGUUCAUGACUGGGGUGAAGUCGUAACAAGG
rnacentral:rRNA from 1 species